rnacentral:rRNA from 1 species
UUGGAGGGCAAGUCUGGUGCCAGCAGCCGCGGUAAUUCCAGCUCCAAUAGCGUAUAUUAAAGUUGCUGCAGUUAAAAAGCUCGUAGUUGAAUUUCGGGACCAUCAUGUCGGUCGUGCCUCGGUACGUACUGGUAUUGUUGGUUUCUCCCUUCUGACGAACCAUGAUGUCAUUUAUUUGGUGUUGUGGGGAAUCAGGACUGUUACUUUGAAAAAAUUAGAGUGUUUAAAGCAGGCUCACGCUUGAAUACAUUAGCAUGGAAUAAUGAAAUAGGACGUUUGAUUCUAUUUGUUGGUUUCUAGGAUCGACGUAAUGAUUAACAGGGAUAGUUGGGGGCAUUAGUAUUCAAUUGUCAGAGGUGAGAUUCUUGGAUUUAUUGAAGACUAACUACUGCGAAAGCAUUUGCCAAGGAUGUUUUCAUUAAUCAAGAACGAAAGUUAGGGGAUCGAAGACGAUCAGAUACCGUCGUAGUCUUAACCAUAAACUAUGCCGACUAGGGAUCGGAUGAUGUUAAUUUUUUAAUGACUCAUUCGGCGCCUUACGGGAAACCAAAGUGUUUGGGUUC